AAAAAUAAUAAGACGUUAUAUAAACAAACUGAUAUGCGGUGAAUAUAGCCAGUAUAAAUAAAAAAUUUCAUAAAUUUUAAACCAUACCUUUUCUGAUUCAAGCCCGACGUAUUCAAUCAUUUCAAUGUCAGAAAACUGUAUUAUUGUACCAUGAAAUUAUAUGAUUUCCAAACAUAAAUAUUACGCUGGAGUCUGCAGUCUGCACUCCCCGUGUUUAAGAGGUGGGGCUUUUGAGCAUGCUCAC